rnacentral:rRNA from 1 species
AUUGAACGCUGGCGGCAGGCUUAACACAUGCAAGUCGAGCGGAGUGAUGGUGCUUGCACUAUCACUUAGCGGCGGACGGGUGAGUAAUGCUUAGGAAUCUGCCAUUUAGUGGGGGACAACAUUCCGAAAGGAAUGCUAAUACCGCAUACGUCCUACGGGAGAAAGCAGGGGAUCUUCGGACCUUGCGCUAAAUGAUGAGCCUAAGUCGGGUUAGCUAGUUGGUGGGGUAAAGGCCUACCAAGGCGACGAUCUGUAGCGGGUCUGAGGGGAUGAUCCGCCACACUGGGACUGAGACACGGCCCAGACUCCUACGGGAGGCAGCAGUGGGGAAUAUUGGACAAUGGGCGGAAGCCUGACCCAGCCAUGCCGCGUGUGUGAAGAAGGCCUUUUGGUUGUAAAGCACUUUAAGCGAGGAGGAGGCUCUUCUAGUUAAUACCUAGGAUGAGUGGACGUUACUCGCAGAAUAAGCACCGGCUAACUCUGUGCCAGCCGCCGCCGUAAGAC